AUUGAACGCUGGCGGCAGGCCUAACACAUGCAAGUCGAGCGGAUGAAGGGAGCUUGCUCCUGGAUUCAGCGGCGGACGGGUGAGUAAUGCCUAGGAAUCUGCCUGGUAGUGGGGUAUAACGUCCGGAAACGGGCGCUAAUACCGCAUACGUCCUUAGGGAGAAAGUGGGGGAUCUUCGGACCUCACGCUAUCAGAUGAGCCUAGGUCGGAUUAGCUAGUUGGUGGGGUAAAGGCCUACCAAGGCGACGAUCCGUAACUGGUCUGAGAGGAUGAUCAGUCACACUGGAACUGAGACACGGUCCAGACUCCUACGGGAGGCAGCAGUGGGGAAUAUUGGACAAUGGGCGAAAGCCUGAUCCAGCCAUGCCGCGUGUGUGAAGAAGGUCUUCGGAUUGUAAAGCACUUUAAGUUGGGAGGAAGGGCAGUAAGUUAAUACCUUGCUGUUUUGACGUUACCAACAGAAUAAGCACCGGCUAACUUCGUG
rnacentral:rRNA from 1 species